ensembl:lncRNA
GGUGAACUCAGCUGUCUCAGAUUAUGGGUGAAAGAAACAUAUGACAGGACUUUUACAUAAUAAUAAUAAUAAUAAUAAUAUUGUUUUUCCCUUACGAAAAUUAACUUUUUUGUAAUAGUUGUUGUUGUCUGCCCUAACUCCCUCUAAACCUAUUAUACAAUUAUGUGAAUUUGUCUAAUUACUACUGUAACAUUUAUAAUGAUAAUGUAACAUAAUAAUGAUGUCCUUUAGCAUACAGUGUUUUGAGUGAUGAGUAGUGUGCUGCUGCUAACAGGUGCUGGCAGUUUAAUACUUGGCGAAGUCAAAACAAUAACAGGUCAACGGGCCAAAUCGGCUGCAAGUCGGAGUUCUCCCGUUUCUCUCGAUUGCCAGACCGCGUCUGUUUGAGCAGCUUUGUGCCAUGUCGAAAGUGAAAGUUUAGAGGUUCAGUAUUUAGACUCUUGUGAGCAGCAGAGAGAGUCAGAGAGGAGUGAACUCAGACUGUGAAGACACGCAGAGCUCGGGUGAUCAAUAACUCUCUCUGAAUGGGAAAUAAUCUCCUUUAAUAAUUCAUAACCAACUACGGGCAAAUCUUCAAAAUCAAUCAUGGAUGCUGUAAAUGCUGUGCAGCUGUUCAUUCUGGUUUGGACCUUUACUGCUGUCUGUCAAGCUGAUGAUGAUGUCAUAGUAAGCUGUGAGAAUGUGACUGGAUUUGUGGGGAAAGAAGUAACUCUCAACUGCAGCGUCUCUCUGAAGUGCGAUAAACAUAAACGCUGCAUUACAAUGUAUAAGUUUCAAUACCCUGAUAUCAAUAAUGACUCCGCAAUCUGUCGUGAAGAUUUUCCUGUGCACCCCUGUGAACAGAGAAACAGUUUCACAUGCAGCUACACUCCAACUACAGCAAUGACAGAACAAUUCAGAUUCUUUGUGCAAACAGCGUGUGGAAAGGACCUAUCAAAAUUCACUGUUAAGACAUCAGUUUCCUCAGAAUCAUCAGGAUCCUCUCCACCAGAGACAGCAGGUCUUGGAUCCAAGGGUACUGUCUUCACUGUGGUUGUGAGUGGUUUCAUCAUCAUCCUCAUCAUCAUGACGGUGAUCAUUUGCAAAACAAAACCAAACUUUACCAAACUUUGUAGAGGCCAGAACUGGAUGUUUUUGAGAGUCAGACAUGAUGAGGACAACAAUCGUCCAGGAAAUGAGAUAUUAUAG